rnacentral:rRNA from 1 species
UAGGAAUCUUCCACAAUGGACGCAAGUCUGAUGGAGCAACGCCGCGUGAGUGAAGAAGGUUUUCGGACCGUAAAGCUCUGUUGUUGGUGAAGAAGGAUAGAGGUAGUAACUGGCCUUUAUUUGACGGUAAUCAACCAGAAAGUCACGGCUAACUACGUGCCAGCAGCCGCGGUAAUACGUAGGUGGCAAGCGUUGUCCGGAUUUAUUGGGCGUAAAGCGAGCGCAGGCGGAAGAAUAAGUCUGAUGUGAAAGCCCUCGGCUUAACCGAGGAAUUGCAUCGGAAACUGUUUUCUUGAGUGCAGAAGAGGAGAGUAGAACUCCAUGUGUAGCGGUGGAAUGCGUAGAUAUAUGGAAGAAUACCAGUGGCGAAGGCGGCUCUCUGGUCUGCAAACUGACGCUGAGGCUCGAAAAGCAUGGGUAGCGAACAGGAUUAGAUACCCUGGUAGUCCAUGCCGUAAACGAUGAGUGCUAAGUGUUGGGAGGCUUCCGCCUCUCAGUGCUGCAGCUAACGCAUUAAGCACUCCGCCUGGGGAGUACGACCGCAAGGUUGAAAC